rnacentral:rRNA from 1 species
CCCCCCCCCCCUUUCCAUAUUGGCCUAUAAAUGAAAGUGAAAGCAUUCCACCUCAUGAGUAAAGCGGCAACGCCCAAAUUGAAAUCAUUAGACCGUUUCUGAAACCAGUAGUGAAGUAUGUUAUUUAAUUCGAUAAUCCGCGAAUAACCUUACCACAUUAUGCAUUGAAUAUUAUUCAAUUAUUACAAGCGCUGCACGGCUGUCUUCAGUUAAUGUCGUGAGAUUUUGGUUUGUUCCAUAAAUUAACGAAAACCCUUGCUUUAUUUGUUUUUAUAAAGUAGUUCUCCAUAUAA